GGCGGACGGGUUAGUAACGCGCGGGAACGUGCCCUUCUCUACGGAACAGCCUCUGGAAACGGAGAGUAAUACCGUAUACGCCCUUUGGGGGAAAGAUUUAUCGGAGAAGGAUCGGCCCGCGUUAGAUCAGGUAGUUGGUGGGGUAACGGCCUACCAAGCCUACGAUCUAUAGCUGGUUUUAGAGGAUGAUCAGCAACACUGGGACUGAGACACGGCCCAGACUCCUACGGGAGGCAGCAGUGGGGAAUCUUAGACAAUGGGGGCAACCCUGAUCUAGCCAUGCCGCGUGAGUGAUGAAGGCCUUAGGGUCGUAAAGCUCUUUCGCCUGUGAUGAUAAUGACAGUAGCAGGUAAAGAAACCCCGGCUAACUCCGUGCCAGCAGCCGCGGUAAUACGGAGGGGGUUAGCGUUGUUCGGAAUUACUGGGCGUAAAGCGCGC
rnacentral:rRNA from 1 species